rnacentral:rRNA from 1 species
CCUACGGGGGGCUGCAGUAAGGAAUAUUGGACAAUGGGCGAAAGCCUGAUCCAGCCAUGCCGCGUGCAGGAAGAAGGCGCUAUGCGUCGUAAACUGCUUUUACACCGGAGAAAACCCCCUUUCGUGAAAGGGGCUGAUAGUAUGGUGAGAAUAAGCAUCGGCUAACUUCGUGCCAGCAGCCGCGGUAAGACGAAGGAUGCAAGCGUUAUCCGGAUUCAUUGGGUUUAAAGGGAGCGUAGGCGGUCUUAUAAGUCAGUGGUGAAAUCUCCUCGCUUAACGAGGAAACUGCCAUUGAUACUGUAGGACUUGAGUAUAGUUGCUGUGGGCGGAAUAUGACAUGUAGUGGUGAAAUACUUAGAGAUGUCAUAGAACACCGAUUGCGAAGGCAGCUCACAAAACUAUAACUGACGCUGAGGCUCGAAAGUGUGGGGAUCAAACAGGCUUAGAUACCCCAGUAGUC